ACUUCCUGACCUCACCUGGGAUGGGAGAUAAGACUCCCACCGCCUACUUCACAGCUGUGCUAUGCGAUGAGAUCACGUCUGUAAAGACUCAACAGCUUGGAGGAAGACAUGAUAAGACCACAUCUUUGUGGGAUCACCCUGGAGCUUUCGGCGCCCAUUAAAAAAAAUGCCAACUGGGGCCGACUCUAACCGCAAACCUUCCCAUCAGCACUAACCGUUCAAUUGCUUCGUCUGAAACGUGACCAACGCUCUGUCUCCUGCGGGGUGAAUCACCAGCCUGCGCUCAUUAACCCAGUACCUGCCGACUGCCAAGGAAGGGCAGCUCCAGGACAGACUAGGUCAAUGUGGAUGUUCUCAAGCUCUCUCCCUGUUUGUGGAGCAGCCACUACUCAAGACGUGUGUGUCUAUUGUGCAUCAAAUCUAGGAACUCAGAAAAAUCGGCAAGGAGACCACAAGUGAAGACUCGUGUUCAACGGGAGUUUCAAGUCCUAAAAGUGAACCGCACUCCUGAGCCAGCUUGUUUAUAAAUACCCCACGCCCGUUGAGGCUCGUCCUUGUUACCUGCCCAUCAACCCUUCUUUAGCAACUUACCUCAGGCUGCUGUGUAAACAUUAUCCACGUCUUACCUCAGGCUGCUGUGUAAACAUUAUCCACGUCUACGCAUGCCAACAUGUGGAAAGGCUGAGCAGCCCUGCCCCAAAGCAAGAGUGAAGCUGCAAGCCAACUGAAGGCGAGGACAGUUCAGACAGAUAUCAAUGCUGGAGUUGAAGCCGUCAUAUGAGCACCAGAUUUGGCACAAGAUACCUGCGGUGUUCAACACUUGCUUCAUCAGUGACCACUCCAUGCCACCUGCUGCAAGAGUAAGAUGACUCAACAUGGGCAAAACCCAAUCUCCUGCCUCUAACUCACCUGUUCUCUCAGGGCUCCCAACCUUGGAAGCAUCUUGACUUUGAGAUUUCAUUCACAUCUCACACCCAGUCCAGAAGCAUUUUUUUUCUACUUACAUU